rnacentral:rRNA from 1 species
UACGGGGGGGGCAAGCGUUGUUCGGAAUUACUGGGCGUAAAGGGCUCGUAGGCGGCCAACUAAGUCAGACGUGAAAUCCCUCGGCUUAACCGGGGAACUGCGUCUGAUACUGGAUGGCUUGAGUUUGGGAGAGGGAUGCGGAAUUCCUGGUGUAGCGGUGAAAUGCGCAGAUAUCAGGAGGAACACCGGUGGCGAAGGCGGAUCUCUGGGCCUUACCUGACGCUCAGGUGCGAAAGCUAGGGGAGCGAACAGG